AUUAGAAAGAAUGGAAAACGCUCCACAUUGCGUGUCUCUUUUGUUUCCAUUUUCCACAUUUUCUUAAUUUCUCUUU
rnacentral:ribozyme from 1 species